rnacentral:rRNA from 1 species
UACGGGGGGAGCAAGCGUUGUUCGGAUUUACUGGGCGUAAAGGGCGCGUAGGCGGCCACCGCAAGUCGACUGUGAAAUCUCCGGGCUUAACCCGGAAAGGUCAGCCGAUACUGCGGGGCUAGAGUGCAGAAGGGGCAACUGGAAUUCUCGGUGUAGCGGUGAAAUGCGUAGAUAUCGAGAGGAACACCUGCGGCGAAGGCGGGUUGCUGGGCUGACACUGACGCUGAGGCGCGAAGGCUAGGGGAGCGAACGGG